rnacentral:rRNA from 1 species
UGGGGAAUAUUGCACAAUGGAGGGAACUCUGAUGCAGCGACGCCGCGUGAACGAAGAAGGCUUUCGAGUCGUAAAGUUCUUUUAUAUGGGAAGAUAAUGACGGUACCAUAAGAAAAAGCCCCGGCUAACUACGUGCCAGCAGCCGCGGUAAUACGUAGGGGGCUAGCGUUGUCCGGAAUCACUGGGCGUAAAGGGUUCGCAGGCGGAAAUGCAAGUCAGGUGUAAAAGGCAGUAGCUUAACUACUGUAAGCAUUUGAAACUGCAUAUCUUGAGAAGAGUAGAGGUAAGUGGAAUUUUUAGUGUAGCGGUGAAAUGCGUAGAUAUUAAAAAGAAUACCGGUGGCGAAGGCGACUUACUGGGCUCAUUCUGACGCUGAGGAACGAAAGGGUGGGUAGCAAACAGG